UAGGUAAUAAUAAUGUAAAAAUUGAGUCAACCCUUUAUUUUUAUUUUUAUUUUUAUUUUUUUGAGAGAUAGGCAGCACACUACCCGCUUCGUUUAUUUUAUUUAAAAAUAAAUUUAGCUGAAAAUGUGAAUCAACUAGAAUUCGAACUUAGGAUCUCGGGUACUAACCACAAAGCUCUUUACCACUUGCUCUAGAGACAGUCGGUGACCCUUUAAAAAGUAAAAAAAAAAAAAAAUCAUUUGAACAGUUCAAACUAACGAUUCUACUGUUGAAUCAAUAAACCAGUUUGAUUUUAAUCAAACCAACCAACCGAAUUUUAUUGAUCAAGUUAUAUUAAAAUGUAAUGACUUAAAUAAUCUUCGGUAAAUUUAUUUUCUAUAAGCACAUAUUAAUUUUAUAAAAGGUAAAUCUUAAAAAUUUAUAUCUACUAAAUUUGGUUUAGACACUACAACAGAAUUAAGUUAUAGGGACACACUCUUGGAACAAUUUUAUAUAAGUGUCCUAUUUAUGCCAAAACUUUUUUAAAAAACUUAUUAAGGCCUAAAUAUUAAGCCCAAUCCAAUCAAAAAUAAAAAGUUCCUCUACUGAACUAACCAUACCCAACCCACUUAGCCCGAUUACAAAUAAAAAAGGAAGAAACAAAAAAGAAAAAUUGAUCACUAUCUCCCCUUUUCUUCCUCCGCCGCCACAGCCGACGAGAUAGAGUUUCGGCGGCUAGAGUUCGACUGCAAGGUUCUCGUAAGGACUAUAGAGGGCUACGAUUGCCACGUAUCCCUCGUCACAGGUCGCUGGAAGAGUGGGUGCCAAAUAUCAAGGCGGCCCUACUUAUAGCGACCCUACAUAUAGCAACACUUUUAAAAAGUGUCGUUAAUUUAGCCAGCAUCACUUUUUUUUACCUAUAUCGACAUUUAAAAGUAUCGCUAUAAACUAUUUUUAUUGCAGUGAGAAAUCAGUAUUAUAUAAUUAUGUUUGAUAUUAGAAUAUAAUAUAUAUAUAUUUCUAUGUAAUAAAAUUAAAAAUAAAAAUUAAAUAUUUAUGACAUUACGUUGACUCACUAGUUCAAUCAUUGAUUGACCAACAGUAAUCUUUCAUCCCAUAAUAUUUUCGGAUCACUGUUCGAUCCGAUUUUUAAAACAUUAAUAUUACUCGUAAGUGACCGGCCGUCUCUAGUGCAAGUAGCAAAAGUUUGAUGGUUGGUACUCGAAAUCCUAAAUUCGAAGCAUAAUUAUUUCAUAUUUCUAGCUAAGUUCUUUAAAAAUACAAAAU
rnacentral:lncRNA from 1 species